rnacentral:rRNA from 1 species
UACGUAGGUGGCGAGCGUUGUCCGGAUUUACUGGGCGUAAAGCGUGCGCAGGCGGUUUUGUAAGCCAGAUGUGAAAUCCCCGGGCUUAACCUGGGAAUGGCAUUUGGGACUGCAAGGCUUGAGUGCGGCAGAGGAGACUGGAAUUCCUGGUGUAGCAGUGAAAUGCGUAGAUAUCAGGAGGAACACCGAUGGCGAAGGCAGGUCUCUGGGCCACUACUGACGCUGAGAAGCGAAAGCAUGGGGAGCGAACAGG